rnacentral:rRNA from 1 species
AUGCGGUCAAGACGAUGUGCAUGGGCUCGAUUGUCGUGUGCGGAGGCUCAGGGUCUGCGUCGACAUUUCAAGGAGAUCCAGUUCAAGUCCGAUGAGACCGGCGAUGAAUUUGCCAUGCGUUUGAGCGGGCUUGUCAACAACAUGUCCAUCCAUGGCGACCAGGUCUCUGAUGGCCGCCUAGUGCGGAAGUUUCUUCGUGUUGUGCCCCACAAGUACUCUCUGGUGGCGCGCUCGAUCGAGACCCUUGUCAAUAGGGAUGGCACCCGCCGGGUUUGGGAAGAGUGUGAAAGGAUCGAUAUAGUUGACUAG